AGAUAUUAAGAUGUAUAUUACACUGAUACAGAUAGUGUGUGUAUCUCACACCAACAAUCUUGGGUUCACCCUUAAUAAAGCGGUGUAAAGGCUUGCUGCCUCCCACUGUGGUGCUUUGCACAGUUGCACUGUUCCCAUCUGGUCCACUGGCGGAGUACAGGACAGCGGCCAUCUGUCAGACACAAGUUACACUUGUUGUCGGUGCCGCAGUAGAUGAUUCACAUCUGAAAUGACAGCAGCAUAAGAUUUUUGG